rnacentral:tRNA from 1 species
UCCCUGGUGGUCCAGUGAUUAGGAUUUGGUGCUUUCAAUGCCACUGCCUGGGUUCAAUCCCUGGUCAGGGAA